CAGGCGCUGCCGGCGCCCGUCUUGGCCGCGCCGCUCUCCUCGCCGCCGCCCCACCCCUCGUCCUGCAACGGCGGCCGGCCGUCCAGCGAGAUGUUGGCCGAGGGUGCAGCCCCUUGAGAUAAAUACACGCCCCUCCGUGCGUAAGAGCCCAGGCGCGCUUGAACGUCCUCUGUGUGCGCAGACUGAUUUACACAUCCCCGUCUGAUGGUGCCGUCACUUUUCAUCUCUCUCUUAGCAAAGGCCAACGUCAACUUUUACUCUAUGAAGACCGAGAAAAGCCAUGAUGGCCUCAUACCCUUUCCCCCUUGUCACCUUGCACAAUUUGUGGAUUAUGAUCUCGGUUUAUCCCAUAUAAACUGGGAACAGUAUGAUUACUUUCUGUCAUUUAUUUCAUAAACAUCCGUUUGGCACUUACCCCAUCUUCUCUUAAGACGGGUCCCUGCCCAAGGAUUGGAAGAUCGUUCGUUCGGGAGCAGUUGGCAUGCUGUACCUCGGAGCUCCAGCCCCACCAAAUGCCUGUGUUGGCUGAGGAGGGUGGGGGGCUAGGGGGCACCAGGACCGACCUGAGAAACGUGUACCAGUUUCCCUGUGCGGUUUGGGUGACAUACCAAAUGUAGUAAGGGACAAUUGUCACACUUGAUUAAGCUCAGCGCCAUCUCAGACACCUCUCUACACUUUUCUGAGGGAGAAGCAAUGUGUUUACCAUCAGGGGAUUAAUUUAAUUAAAGGUUUAAAUUUAGCUCUGGAACUAAUGGGUAACUCUACAUUGAAAUUCCACUCCACUUCAGGUUCAGGAAAGUAAAUUGAGUAAUGUGGAGCAAAUACACCAGAGAUGUGCACUGAGCCUGGAGUGUACGAGAUAUGGACCAUCUGAGACCAGAUGCAAGACCUAAGUGAGACUUACUGGGAAGCUCCAGGAUAUUGAAUGCAGAACCGAAGUCAGUGAGGACCACAGAGCCACACUGCAUAGCUCACAAAGUGGGACUUCCUUAUAGUCCUCAUCCCAGUAUUUCCUAAAAGCGCCAAUCCCUGCUCCGUUCUGGGCUAGGUUCUGUGAGUACCAAAGAGAACAGGAUGUGACCUUUUCCUGGAGACCGAAAGUGAAUGGCAGAGAAAGCUGCAUCCAUAUUGUCACCAAAAAUACACCAAGUAUUUAAAAGAAAGCGCUGUAUGCACAGGGUUCAGCUAAACCCCAGCAGACCUCCUAGACCGGAGGCUAUCUCAGCCUUCGCCCCUCUGCACCACCCACCGAAGACACCCUCCUCUUCCUGCACGGGAGAUGCCCUGGGGAGGUACAUUCCUGCCACCCGGCUGCCAUAGUGCGAUUGCCUCAGAUUGUCUCCAAGUCUCCUCAUCCUGCCUGAGGUCCUGCCCUUCCCUCCAUGGUUGGUACCUGCAGCCCCACACCUAGGUCCACACAGGAACAUUUUGCCUCCAGUCCCCUCACAUUCUGUGGAGGAAAGAGAAUUUUAUGACAGUCCCUGCCUAGGAUGACUGACGUAAGGCCUCCAGGCUCUUAAUAACUGGUGUGAGAAG